UGGGGAAUAUUGGACAAUGGGCGAAAGCCUGAUCCAGCCAUGCCGCGUGUGUGAAGAAGGCCUUCGGAUUGUACAGCACUUUAAGUUGGGAGGAAGGGCAGUAAGCGAAUACCUUGCUGUUUUGACGUUACCGACAGAAUAAGCACCGGCUAACUCUGUGCCAGCAGCCGCGGUAAUACAGAGGGUGCAAGCGUUAAUCGGAAUUACUGGGCGUAAAGCGCGCGUAGGUGGUUCGUUAAGUUGAAUGUGAAAGCCCCGGGCUCAACCUGGGAACUGCAUCCAAAACUGGCGAGCUAGAGUAGGGCAGAGGGUGGUGGAAUUUCCUGUGUAGCGGUGAAAUGCGUAGAUAUAGGAAGGAACACCAGUGGCGAAGGCGACCACCUGGGCUCAUACUGACACUGAGGUGCGAAAGCGUGGGGAGCAAACAGG
rnacentral:rRNA from 1 species